rnacentral:rRNA from 1 species
UGUCAUAGCCUAAAGGCUGAACCAUUAAUUUGGAAGAAUGUAUAGCAUUAGCUAAUUAUAUUAACUAAUAAUUAAUAUAAUAUCGAUUAUAUCGAAUAAAGUUCUAGAUAAAAUAAUGAUUAUGACAAUUUUUUAUCUAUAAGUCUUGACCAAAUCACGUGCCAGCAGUCGCGGUAAGACGUGAAAGACUAGUGUUAUUCAUCUUUAAUAGGUUUAAAGGGUACCUAGACGGUAUAUCUAGCCAAAAAGGUACGGAUUUACUAGAGUUUUAUGUGAGAAGGUGAGUAUUUAAAGUGUAGAGAUGAAAUUUUUUAAUACUUUAAGGACUGGUAACGGCGAAAGCAACCUUCUAUGUAAUAACUGACGUUGAGGGACGAAGGCCUGGGUAGCAAACAGGAUUAGAUACCCUAGUAGUUCAGGCAGAGAAUUCUGAAUGCCAUAAACUAGAUUAAUUUUUAGUUUAUAAAUAAAAGUGUAAGCAUUCCACCUCAAGAGUAAUGUGGCAACGCAGAAACUGAAAUCAUUAGACCGUUUCUGAAACCAGUAGUGAAGUAUGUUAUUUAAUUCGAUGACCCACGAAAAACCUUACCAUAAUUUGAAUAUUAUUUAUUUAAUACAAGCGUUGCACGGCUGUCUUCAGUUAAUGUCGUGAGAUUUUGGUUAGUUCCAUUAAAUUAACGUAAACCCUUGCUUUAUUUGUGAUAUAUAUUUUAUAAAGUAGUUCGCCGCUAUAUUGGAAAUUAUAAAAGGGACUAAGACAAGUCAACAUGACCU